GGGUGGUUAGCUCAGUGGGAGAGCGCCACGUUGACAUCGUGGAGGUCACUGGUUCGAUACCAGUACCACCCACCA
rnacentral:tRNA from 1 species